UACGGAGGGGGCAAGCGUUAUUCGGAUUUACUGGGCGUAAAGCGCACGUAGGCGGAUUGUUAAGUCAGAGGUGAAAUCCCGGAGCUCAACUCCGGAACUGCCUUUGAUACUGGCAAUCUAGAGUCCGGAAGAGGUGAGUGGAACUCCUAGUGUAGAGGUGGAAUUCGUAGAUAUUAGGAAGAACACCAGUGGCGAAGGCGGCUCACUGGUCCGGUACUGACGCUGAGGUGCGAAAGCGUGGGGAGCAAACAGGG
rnacentral:rRNA from 1 species